rnacentral:sRNA from 1 species
CCCACUCUCUCUCUCUCUCUCUCUCUCUCUAUCUCUU